AAAUAAACUGCAAUUUAUUGAAGUAAACAUUUCGAUUUUGAGAAAUGUGAUAUGGCUGAAACAUCGUACAACAUGGAAGAGGGUUUUGGCAUUUGUUUUAGCCGAUUUUGCUGUGGAAAUUAACAAUACAGACGACCAACUGGUUACAGAUUUUGAAGAUGAAUUUGGCAAAAAUAUAACACUUAUUUAUGAGGACACAAGUGCCCCUGCACACGAGAGAGA